CAAUUUGCUGAAACUUUAUAUUAGUAGGGUACAAGCUACUUGCCAAAUGACUAUAAUUGUGACACCCAUGAUCCAACACUAAAUUCACACGCUUUGUAACUCUUUUUCAAUUCAACUACAAAUAGUCUUCCUCCCAAUUUUUUCUGCUUUGAUACAGCUAUUCAACUUCCAACCAAUCUCCUCCAUAACCUCCUUGUCAUAAAUCUGUAUUAUAACUCUCACUUUUGAUUUUCUUUUAGCUUAAGAAUUAGAACAAGAAAGAGGAGGUUCUUAUCUCAAGGUGAAAAUAAAAGAUGGGUCAUCACCACCAAAACCAUGAAGGAAAGAGAGAGAGGCCAAGAAUAUUGGCAUGUUGUUGUUGCCCUUGUUUAGUAGUGUCCUCUACAUUCUCUAUGUUAAAGAGGUGUCUCUUUGUGGCCUGUUUUCCUGUUUUGCAGUGUUUUGGAUUAGAUGAACACAGACAUCAACAUCACCAUCACAAACAUUUCUGACAAUACUCACAAUUUAUAGAACUGAUUUUUGAGUCUUGAAUUCAUAGCAAGAUUAACUUCUGAUUAGCUGUCGAAA